rnacentral:rRNA from 1 species
AUUGAACGCUGGCGGCAUGCUUUACACAUGCAAGUCGAACGGCGGCGCGGGCUUCUGCCUGGCGGCUAGUGGCGAACGGGUGAGUAAUACAUCGGAACUUGCCCAGCAGUGGGGGAUAGCUCGGCGAAAGCCGGAUUAAUAGCGCAAACGACCUUAUUCUGAGAGCGUGGCUCUUCGGACCUCGCGCUAUUGUUGCUGCCGAUGGCAGUUUAGCUAGUUGCUGUGGUAAAGGCCUACAAAGGCGACGAUCUGUAGCUGGUCUGAGAGGACGAGCAUCCACACUGGGAGUGAGACACGGCCCAGACUCCUACGGGAGGCAGCAGUGGGGAAUUUUGGACAAUGGGCGAGAGACUGAUCCAGCAAUGCGGCGUGUGUGAUGAAGGCCUUCGGGUUGUAAAGCACUUUUGGCGGGAACGAAAAGGACUGUGCCAAUACCACGGUUCGAUGACGGUACCCGCAGAAUAAGCACCGGCUAACUACGU